rnacentral:rRNA from 1 species
UACAGAGGGUGCAAGCGUUAAUCGGAAUUACUGGGCGUAAAGCGUGCGUAGACGGUUAUGUAAGUCAGGUGUGAAAGCCCCGGGCUCAACCUGGGAAUGCCAUUUGAGACUGCAUAGCUAGGGUACGGAAGAGGGAAGCGGAAUUUCAGGUGUAGCGGUGAAAUGCGUAGAUAUCUGAAGGAACACCAGUGGCGAAAAGCGGCUUCCUGGUCCAGUACCGACGUCAGGCACGAAAGCGUGGGGAGCAAACAGG